CCUACGGGAGGCUGCAGUGGGGAAUAUUGCGCAAUGGGGGAAACCCUGACGCAGCAACGCCGCGUGAGUGAUGAAGGUCUUCGGAUUGUAAAGCUCUGUCUUUGGGGACGAUAAUGACGGUACCCAAAAAACAAGCCACGGCUAACUACGUGCCAGCAGCCGCGGUAAUACGUAGGUGGCAAGCGUUGUCCGGAUUUACUGGGUGUAAAGGGCGUGUAGGCGGGGAUGCAAGUCAGAUGUGAAAUUCCGGGGCUCAACCCCGGCGCUGCAUCUGAAACUGUAUCUCUUGAGUGCUGGAGAGGAAAGCGGAAUUCCUAGUGUAGCGGUGAAAUGCGUAGAUAUUAGGAGGAGCACCAGUGGCGAAGGCGGCUUUCUGGACAGUAACUGACGCUGAGGCGCGAAAGCGUGGGGAGCGAACAGGAUUAGAUACCCUAGUAGUC
rnacentral:rRNA from 1 species